ACUGGGCAUGAUGACAUUUGCCUAUAGUCCCAGCUAUUCAGGAGGCUGAGGCAGGAGGAUCGCUUGAGCCCAGGAGUUCUGGGUUGUAGUGUGCUAUGCCAAUUGGGUGUCCACACUAAGUUCAGCAUCAGUACAGGGACCUCCUGGGGUGGGGGACCAGCAGAUUGCCUAGGGAAGGGUGAACUGGCCCGGGUUGGAACUGGAGCAGGUCAGAACUGCCAUGCUGAUCAGUCGGGGGUUCCUGCUUGGAAAUAGGCACUGCAUGCCAGCCUGGGGGACAUAGUGAGGGCCCAUCUCUA
rfam:Callithrix jacchus chromosome 1, whole genome shotgun sequence